rnacentral:rRNA from 1 species
AUUGAACGCUGGCGGCAGGCCUAACACAUGCAAGUCGAGCGAGCGGCGGACGGGUGAGUAAUGUAUGGGGAACUGCCCGAUAGAGGGGGAUAACUACUGGAAACGGUGGCUAAUACCGCAUACUAUCGGAUGUACCCAUAUGGGAUUAGCUAGUUGGGGGGGUAAAGGCUCCCCUAGGCGACGAUCUCUAGCUGGUCUGCGAGGAUGACCAGCCACACUGGAACUGAGACACGGCCCAGACUCCUACGGGAGGCAGCAGUGGGGAAUAUUGCACAAUGGGCGCAAGCCUGAUGCAGCCAUGCAGCGUGGAUGAAGAAGGCCUUAGGGUUGUAAAGUACUUUCAGCGGGGAGGCGUUACCCGCAGAAGAAGCACCGGCUAACUCCGGGCCAGCAGCCGCGGUAAUAC